CGAGCGAGCUUGCCUAGAUGAUUUUAGUGCUUGCACUAAAUGAAAUUAGAUACAAGCGAGCGGCGGACGGGUGAGUAACACGUGGGUAACCUGCCCAAGAGACUGGGAUAACACCUGGAAACAGAUGCUAAUACCGGAUAACAACACUAGACGCAUGUCUAGAGUUUGAAAGAUGGUUCUGCUAUCACUCUUGGAUGGACCUGCGGUGCAUUAGCUAGUUGGUAAGGUAACGGCUUACCAAGGCAAUGAUGCAUAGCCGAGUUGAGAGACUGAUCGGCCACAUUGGGACUGAGACACGGCCCAAACUCCUACGGGAGGCAGCAGUAGGGAAUCUUCCACAAUGGACGAAAGUCUGAUGGAGCAACGCCGCGUGAGUGAAGAAGGGUUUCGGCUCGUAAAGCUCUGUUGGUAGUGAAGAAAGAUAGAGGUAGUAACUGGCCUUUAUUUGACGGUAAUUACUUAGAAAGUCACGGCUAACUACGUGCCAGCAGCCGCGGUAAUACGUAGGUGGCAAGCGUUGUCCGGAUUUAUUGGGCGUAAAGCGAGUGCAGGCGGUUCAAUAAGUCUGAUGUGAAAGCCUUCGGCUCAACCGGAGAAUUGCAUCAGAAACUGUUGAACUUGAGUGCAGAAGAGGAGAGUGGAACUCCAUGUGUAGCGGUGGAAUGCGUAGAUAUAUGGAAGAACACCAGUGGCGAAAGCGGCUCUCUGGUCUGCAACUGACGCUGAGGCUCGAAAGCAUGGGUAGCGAACAGGA
rnacentral:rRNA from 1 species